AGAUUUGCAUUUUUUUAUGCAUGUUAAUUGUAUUUACAUAUUUAGUAAUUUUGUUGUGUUUUGUCAUUUUGUUAAUUUUUUGUUGUUUUUAAAUGUCUAUAAAGUUUUUGUUGUUAAUUUUUAUUUUUUUUAUUUUAGUACAUCGAGUUCAAGUACAUUUAGUUCAAGUUAAACUCUGAAAUACAGAAAGGUUGCCUUGGAAAUUAAAAUAAACUAGAAUAAUAAAACCAGUUAAAAUGUGUUAUUUUUAGUUUUUUUUUUUUUUACAUUUAUUUCAAGUAAUAAGCUUUAGUUUUUGUUUUUGUUAACUAUAAUAACUCUGAUUUGACUGCUUUUUUGCAAAUCAGCAUUUAUUUUUUUUCUCAGAUAUACAGAGCUGUGUUAUCAAUGUGUCUUCAGAAUUUACCUAUAUAUAAUUUCCAUUCAAAAAGUGCAUUGGUGCAUUGGGUGUCUCCAUGCUGGCUUGUAUUUUAGCCUCAACUGUGCAGCUCCAUGUCAGAUAUAUUUGACCUUUGUUCCUCUCUUCCCCUCUUGUGUCCAGAAAAAGGUCUGCUUUCUGGCUAUCUGUACAGAGCUCCUCAGGAGAUGACCAUUUCAACAGCAGAUACUGCAUUCAGUUCUCCCAAAGCCGGUUCAUCCCACUGCCCUCUUCUCUCGAAAGACAUCUACACACCUGUGAGGCUGUACUUCUCACCACAUCACCAGACACAGCGGAAACAGGCUAACUGAAGCCAAGUCAGUCAACACGUAAGCUGCACACUUCAGCAGCUUCUCCCUAAAUGGUAUUUAUUUAUCAUUUUAUGAUAUAUUUAUGUAACUAAUAAUACUAUACUAGAGUGUGAGAGAAAUUGAAUGCAAGAUGACCUAAAUGCCUUUAAGGCAGGUCAGGCAAGUUGGUGAGCAUCUUGCAGGAGUAAAGCUCCUGGGCAUCUGUUUUUCUGCAAGGCAGAGAAGUACAGCUCCUAUCUAGUUGAAUGGGGAAAGACAACAACAACAACAAUAAUAAAUAGUAAAC
ensembl:lncRNA